GAUGGACGCUGGCGGCGUGCCUAAUACAUGCAAGUCGAGCGAACGGACGAGAAGCUUGCUUCUCUGAUGUUAGCGGCGGACGGGUGAGUAACACGUGGAUAACCUACCUAUAAGACUGGGAUAACUUCGGGAAACCGUAGCUAAUACCGGAUAAUAUUUUGAACCGCAUGGUUCAAAAGUGAAAGACGGUCUUGCUGUCACUUAUAGAUGGAUCCGCGCUGCAUUAGCUAGUUGGUAAGGUAACGGCUUACCAAGGCAACGAUGCAUAGCCGACCUGAGAGGGUGAUCGGCCACACUGGAACUGAGACACGGUCCAGACUCCUACGGGAGGCAGCAGUAGGGAAUCUUCCGCAAUGGGCGAAAGCCUGACGGAGCAACGCCGCGUGAGUGAUGAAGGUCUUCGGAUCGUAAAACUCUGUUAUUAGGGAAGAACAUAUGUGUAAGUAACUGUGCACAUCUUGACGGUACCUAAUCAGAAAGCAACGGCUAACUACGUG
rnacentral:rRNA from 1 species